GUGAGAGUUAGGGUUCACUUUCUGCCUUCCCCUUCACUACUCUGAAGCGUGAGAGUUGGGGUUCAGCUCCGCUCUUCGUCACUCGUGGGAGAAGAAGAAAUUGAAGCGCAUCGUGACGCAGCAGUUCUGUCGUGCCUUGCUCCUGUGCCUCGUCUCUACUGCUCACUGCAAGAGUAAAACUCCCAUUGUGGAUUUUAAUAAAUAUUCAGUUCCAAGGGGGUAGCUGCUCGAGCAUUAGGAGUGGAGAAACCAAGUGGAAGAGUCACAUAUAUUGUGGUUCUUGAAGGUUUGUGCAGAUUUAGUGUCCAGGAACUAAGCACAAGAAGAACAUACCAUACUGCAAGGAUCUCAUCCCUUGAGAUGACUAAGAUUGUUUGGCAAAGUUUGAUUACCAGCGGAUGACCCCAAAAUUUAAAACAAAGAGUAUCCAAGCUCAAAAAAAUAGAGCAUCUGAGAAAGGUGGAAGUCUGCACACAGUCACAAGAGUUGGGUCGCCUUCCACAUAUUGAUGAGUUGUUCCACCAAACUUAUGUACGGAAGCUUACAGGUGAUUUUGUCGACCAAAGAUCUAAGCGAACAUAUGUGAGUUAUUUUUUUUUUGUAUUAUUGCUUUAUUCUUUUCAAUUUUAAUCAUCUUUGAUAAAUGUCACUUCUAAGCAUCUUUAUUUAUGAAAUAGGAUCAAUUUGAGACUAUAUUUAAUCAAACUAGGUCUGAGGCUACAUCUUGUACGGGAGGUUUUGAAACGUCUCUUAUGGACUCAGUUAAGGAAGAAAGACUCUACAAUAAGGGUUGGAUUGUUGCUGCUGGUGGGAUUACAGACAAAAGACGACUUUACGGGGUUGGAAAAGUCAAUUCUCCAUUAACAUUGGGGGAUACCUUCACAAAUAUAUCUUUUGGUCGUGCUUCUGAAGAGUCAGAGAAAAUUAUUCAAUUGCAAGAGCAAGUCCAUAUAUAAGUCUAGGGAGGAGGCUCGUCAAUCUAGGGAACAAAAUGAAUGCUUGCAAUGCCAGUUUCAAUCCUUGUUCAUUGUUGUUCUACCUCUCUUACCUUCUGAUACACAACAUAUUUUGCAACAACAGGUAGAUCAACAAUCUCAUGACAACCACGAUGCCCAACAACUACCACCUACUAGACAUUAUGGAGAUGACUAUUAGAUUAUAAAAAUUUUCGUAGAUAACCCGUAGAUAAAUUCUGUAGGUAAGUCUUUUAAAACUUAUUCGUAUAUAACAACUUUUGUGGGUAAUCCGUAUGAAUGUCCGUAUAUAAGGUUACCUACGGAAAAUUUUCGGUAUGGAAAAUUUUUCGCAAGUACUGUUAUCUACGACUUUAUUACCUACAGAUUUUUUUCUAUAGAUAAUCUGUAGAUAAUUAACACUUAUCUACGAAUUUUCAUGCUUAUCUACGGAUUUCUUCUGUAGAUAAUGUUGAUUUUUCUUGAAUUAUAAUUUUCUUUGACUCUUAAGUAGCACAACUAGAAGAUAUAUUUGUGAAGGUAUCCCCAAAUCUCAAUGUAGAAGUGACUUUUCCA